rnacentral:rRNA from 1 species
CCUACGGGUGGCAGCAGUGGGGAAUAUUGCACAAUGGGCGCAAGCCUGAUGCAGCCAUGCCGCGUGUGUGAAGAAGGCCUUCGGGUUGUAAAGCACUUUCAGCGGGGAGGAAGGCGUUAAGGUUAAUAACCUUGGCGAUUGACGUUACCCGCAGAAGAAGCACCGGCUAACUCCGUGCCAGCAGCCGCGGUAAUACGGAGGGUGCAAGCGUUAAUCGGAAUUACUGGGCGUAAAGCGCACGCAGGCGGUCUGUCAAGUCGGAUGUGAAAUCCCCGGGCUCAACCUGGGAACUGCAUUCGAAACUGGCAGGCUAGAGUCUUGUAGAGGGGGGUAGAAUUCCAGGUGUAGCGGCGAAAUGCGUAGAGAUCUGGAGGAAUACCGGUGGCGAAGGCGGCCCCCUGGACAAAGACUGACGCUCAGGUGCGAAAGCGUGGGGAGCAAACAGGAUUAAACCCUGGUAGUC